rnacentral:lncRNA from 1 species
GCUAGUGGUAGGUUAAUUGAUGUGUGUAUGACAUUUAUAUGACUGGUUUUGAGUAUGACAUACUGUAUACAUGUAAUAUUUAUGACACAAAAUUUGCAUGGGGGUGGGUUUUUGUUAUGGAGGAAGUACUGUACUGAUGACUAUGUCACGUUUAUUAUUACUGGUGGCUUGCAACACUUACUGCUACUGGCAGCUACGCUGCGUUAUUAUUACUGGCAGCUUUGCUGCGGUUUUGGUGUGCUGGUUAGGUGGGUUGAUUGAUAUCCCC